UAGGACUGUUAUCCCCUGGAAGAUCACAAG
rnacentral:piRNA from 1 species